rnacentral:rRNA from 1 species
GCCUACGGGAGGCAGCAGUGGGGAAUAUUGGACAAUGGGGGAAACCCUGAUCCAGCAAUGCCGCGUGAGUGAAGAAGGCCUUAGGGUUGUAAAGCUCUUUCGGCGGGGACGAUGAUGACGGUACCAGCAGAAGAAGCCCCGGCUAACUACGUGCCAGCAGCCGCGGUC